AACGAACGCUGGCGGCAGGCUUAACACAUGCAAGUCGAGCGCCCCGCAAGGGGAGCGGCAGACGGGUGAGUAACGCGUGGGAAUCUACCCAGCUCUACGGAAUAACUCAGGGAAACUUGUGCUAAUACCGUAUACGUCCGAUAGGAGAAAGAUUUAUCGGAGUUGGAUGAGCCCGCGUUGGAUUAGCUAGUUGGUGGGGUAAUGGCCUACCAAGGCGACGAUCCAUAGCUGGUCUGAGAGGAUGAUCAGCCACACUGGGACUGAGACACGGCCCAGACUCCUACGGGAGGCAGCAGUGGGGAAUAUUGGACAAUGGGCGCAAGCCUGAUCCAGCCAUGCCGCGUGAGUGAUGAAGGCCCUAGGGUUGUAAAGCUCUUUCACCGGUGAAGAUAAUGACGGUAACCGGAGAAGAAGCCCCGGCUAACUUCGUGCCAGCAGCCGCGGUAAU
rnacentral:rRNA from 1 species